GACGAACCGUGCGAACGUUGUUCGGAAUCACUGGGCGUAAAGCGUGCGCAGGCGGUUGUGCAAGACAGAUGUGAAAUCCCCGGGCUUAACCUGGGAAUUGCAUUUGUGACUGCACGGCUAGAGUGUGUCAGAGGGGGGUAGAAUUCCACGUGUAGCAGUGAAAUGCGUAGAUAUGUGGAGGAAUACCGAUGGCGAAGGCAGCCCCCUGGGAUAACACUGACGCUCAUGCACGAAAGCGUGGGGAGCAAACAGG
rnacentral:rRNA from 1 species